AUGCCACCCCCGGGCGCUGUCGCGGGGGUUCGGGGACGCUGGCUCCCCAGGCGCCUACCGAGGGGCCGGGCCCCGCCUGCACCAGGUGCGAGGCGCUCUGCCUUAGGGGCUUUAGGGGCUUGCCGCCUCGGGCCCACGUGGGGCCCCGAGGGUCUCCUCUGCCGCCGCUUCCGCGCAUCCCACCCCUCAGCCUUGGGUCCUGCCUGCAUCUCUCCCUGUGGAGGCCCAACUGAGGGGGGGGGGGGAGGGGAGGCAGCUGAGGAGGGGACCUGCGCCUUUGAUCAUACUCCUCUUCCUCCUCCUAUCCCCUCCCCCCUCCUCCUCCUGUCUCCCCUCCUCCUAUCCCUUCCUCCCCCUCCUCCUCCCCUGCCCUCCCCAUCCUCCCCUCCUCUCCCCUCCCCCGUUCCCCCUUCUCCCUCUUCCUCCGCCUCCUCCCUCCACUCCUCCCUUUUCUUCCUCCUCCUGUCCUCCCUCUUAUCCCCUCCCUCCUCCUCCUCCCUCCACUCCUCCCCUCCUCCUCCUGUCCCCCCUCUCCCCCUUUCUAUCCCCUCCCUCCUCCUCCUGUGCCCCCUCCUCCCCCUUUCUAUCCCCUCCCUCCUCCUCCCUUCCCCUCCUCCGCUCUUCUUCCUCCUAUUCCCUCCCCCCUCCCCCUUCCUCCUCCUGUCCCAUCCUCCUCCUCCUCCUCCCCUCCUCCUCCUGUCCUCCUCCAUACUCCUCCCUCCUCCCCUCUCCCUCUGCUUCCCCCUCUUCUUCCCCUCUUCUUCCCCUCUUCUUCUUUCUCUCCCUCUUUCCUUCUCCCUGUCUCUCUCCCUCUCUCUCCGCCCCCCCCCCCCUCUCUCUCACACACACACACACACACACACACACACACACACACACACAGCUGGGCUGGGUGGAGAUAUUCCCAUUUCUCUCCACUGUCACUCUGGGGACAGAGGAAACAAACACACGCAGGUCCCCCCCCCCCCCCCCCCGGCUCCCCUUCUGGAAAGGCACCUGAAAGCUCUUGGCGGUGGUUGA
rnacentral:lncRNA from 1 species